UUAAUGUCCAGGAGAGUGGCCCUCCGCAUGGAGGGUUGACUAGAGAUUUAUCGGUAUGGGAUGAGCUUGCGUCCGAUUAGCUAGUUGGCGGGGCAACGGCCCACCAAGGCGACGAUCGGUAGCCGGCCUGAGAGGGUGAUCGGCCACAUUGGGACUGAGAUACGGCCCAGACUCCUACGGGAGGCAGCAGUAGGGAAUAUUGCACAAUGGGGGAAACCCUGAUGCAGCAACGCCACGUGUGGGAAGAAGCAUUUCGGUGUGUAAACCACUAUCAUGAGGGAAUAAGGCCCGCCUCCGGGCGGGAUUGAAUGUACCUUGGGAGGAAGCACCGGCAAACUUCGUGCCAGCAGCCGCGGUAAUACGAGGGGUGCAAGCGUUGUUCGGAAUUACUGGGCGUAAAGGGAGCGUAGGCGGAGAUUCAAGCGGAUUGUACAAUCCCGGGGCCCAACCCCGGCUCUGCAGUCCGAACUGGAUCUCUUGGAUAGUUCAGGGGCAGGCGGAAUUCCUGGUGUAGCGGUGGAAUGCGUAGAGAUCAGGAAGAACACCGAUGGCGAAGGCAGCCUGCUGGGGACUUAUCGACGCUGAGGCUCGAAAGUGCGGGUAGCAAACAGGAUUAGAUACCCUGGUAGUCCGCACCGCAAACAAUGCAUACUGGGUGUCCGGGGGUUCCCCCGGGUACCGUAGCCAACGCGUUAAGUAUGCCGCCUGGGGAGUACGUACGCAAGUAUGAAACUCAAAGGAAUUGACGGGGGGCCGCACAAGCGGUGGAGCAUGUGGUUU
rnacentral:rRNA from 1 species